GCAGGCAGGUGGAGGGAGGGUAAGGCUGGUGUGACCUGCAGUGAGCUUCAGUGCCACCUUGGGUGACCACCUUCUGUGCUGAACACAGGAGCUCCUCUGCAGCGCUGGGCAUGGCAGUGCGGCCCAUGUUUGCGCAGUGGAGAACAAGGCACCUCUUUACAGGCUCCAUCUUAAACGUCUGAACUCAAUGGGAACUUUGGUGUUAACGUAGGUCUUGGGAGUCCUGGGCAGGUGCUUAAACAGGCAGAUACAACAUAAUCUUUGUGUACCUCGGUUCCCUUGCUGUCAAAUUAGAAAAGGCAAACCCUGUAAUCAAAUGAAAGUAUUUUGAAAAGUGUUCAUUCAUGAAAGACUCCUGGCAGUUGAUGAGGAAAUUCAUUUGGUAUUUUAUGCUCUUCAGUGAAGUCUUGAGCCACAACUUGAAAGAAAGAGAUGAAAAGGGACCUGUGGGUUGGGGGUGGUGGACCUUUACACAGACGUGAUUGUGCACGUUUUGGCUAAGAGAAGCAUUUGCUGUAGUACGUUGCUCUCUUCCAUGGACCAGCCACCAGAGGGAGACGGGAUGCACCUUUCCUCAGUACUUGGAUACUCACUGGUGGCAGAGUAUGUUUCGAGAUCAGAAAAUGUAAAAAAACCCCCACACCAUCAUCACCGUAAUGCAGAAAUAAAAGUAUGGUUAUGGAUAGUAGAUUAUGACCCAGAGGAAAGAAUGUGAACAAUGCAUCUGCAGAGAGGAAUUUUAAGUGAUGUAUGUGAACCUGCCAAAAUGAGAAUUGCAGCCGAAGGAAGCGAGCCAGCAGUCUAACUACAAUCAAUACCCAGGUUAAGUAAACAAUUACAGUCUGCCGGAGUUGGAAGGAAAUCCGCACAGCCUGACAGGGGUAACUGCAGUGUCUUCAGGUGUAAAUUCUGAAUUUACUUCAUGGAUACCCUUCUUGCAAUUUGCACAGAGUGUAACCAAUUUUUUUCGCAACCUAUCAGGCAAAGGCUUCUCUGUUUAUGAAGAGCUGCUGUUAAGUCCUUACAAACAAAUGAUGUUUGUCAACUAAUAGUGGAGGUUGUUUUAAAAAUCUGGAACCUGGUGAGACUCAGAACAACGUAUGUUAUCAGACAAUAUGAUUAGACAGGGAAGCAGGCUUAUGAAUAAGUAAAAAAUACAAACGAGUAAUAUUAGGGUACUUUGUGAGCGCUGAGGUUGCCUAUCAUAGAAGACAUCAAUCCUAGAAUGGAAACAGCUGUGUUUACAAUAUUUUAGGGUAGUUUCCUUAUCAAAUAUUAAUAUGUGGAAAAGUCCUUGUGUUAAAACUUGGCAGUUGGUCCAACAGAAGAUUCUUCUUCUCCUUGCAAUAUUUGCUAUAAAGUUGCUAAAUAGCUCAAAAUAGUUUCAACACUGUUAAGAGGUGCCUAAACACAAAAAAGAACUGAGAUUUAUAAAUGAAAGAAUAUUUUUUUACGUUUUGGCUUGAUCUCUUACCCUUUACUUAGGCAAAAGUUCUUGGGAAACCUCAAAAUUUUCCUGACACAGUUUCUUAUGAAACUGAUAGUAUAGUAGGACAGCUGACUCAAACUGGGCAAAGGGAUAUUCCAUACCAUAUGAUGUCAUCCUCUGUAUAUAACUGGGAGUUGGCUGGGCGGUAGUUCAGCUCAAGCACUAGCUGAGCAUCGGCUCUGGGUGGUGAACAAUUGUGCUGUGUGUCACUUGUUUUGUAUAUUGUUUUAUCAUUCUUCU